rnacentral:rRNA from 1 species
AGCAGCCGCGGUAAUUCCAGCUCCAAUAGCGUAAUAUUAAAGUUGUUGACAGUUAAAAAGCUCGUAGUUGAAUUUCGGGGUCAGUAGGUUGGUCAUGCCACUGGUAUGUACUGGUCUCACUGAUUCCUCCUUCCUGAUGAACUGUAAAUGCCAUUAAUUUGGUGUUGCAGGGAAUCUGGAACUGUUACUUUGAAAAAUUAGAGUGUUUAAAGCAGGCUAACGCCUGAAUACAUUAGCAUGGAAUAAUGAAAUAGGACGUUCGAUCCUAUUUUGUUGGUUUCUAGGAUUGACGUAAUGAUUAAUAGGGAUAGUUGGGGGCAUUAGUAUUCAAUUGUCAGAGGUGAAAUUCUUGGAUUUAUUGAAGACUAACUACUGCGAAAGCAUUUGCCUAAGGAUGUUUUCAUUAAUCAAGAACGAAAGUUAGGGGAUCGAAGACGAUCAGAUACCGUACGUAGUACUUAACCAUAAACUAUGCCGACUAGGGAUCGGAUGAUGUUAAUUUUUAAUGACUU